CAAAUUACUGAUUUAUUUAUCUACACUGCGUAAGUUAGCUAUUGCCUUGUUAAUCGUCCACACGGCAGUGUUGCCACUAGCCAGGUGCAACAUUUCUACACCACAUCACUGACUUCCACGCUCUCGUAAAUUUGAUGUUAAAGACUGAUUCAACCAUCACGUCACCGACACAUCACACGUCACGUCACCGUCCAUCAACCGUGCCUUGUAGAUUGACAGUCACUAGUAUCCAUCACGCUUCACGAUCCCGUCCAGUUCGUGCUCGACCCCCCAGUUGGUAGUCAUGGCGCAUGGCAGACUUAACGUUAAGAAGCUUGCAUUAGGGUAAAACACCGCAUGGUACAGGGGUGGACCAUGUACGAUCAAUGUGUCCCACCCCAAAAAAAGUACAUUAUAACGCGUCCUGACACCGGAGAUGGGCAUCAGUCGCGACUUCUUGUUGGUGAGAAACGGAGGUAAAGACCUCUACUCUCCUUUCAAAAUGCUUAUAGAUCUGUGGGAUUGAAGUAACAUAUGACCAUUCUUGGAAAUUAUCUUAAAAAGUAAGAUGAUGAAAAGAACAUGCUUGUAAAUAUUACAAGAGGAUUUUUCUUACUCCAGAAAAUUCAGCUUCCUCAGUCAAAGCCUGUGUCUGUUCUGCUUCUGCCAUCACAGCUGCAUCAUCUUGCUCCCUCGUACUUCUGCAGUAUAAUUUGUAAGUGGUUAAGAAAAGGAAGAAUUAUGGCUCUACCAGCCUACGGUUGACCAGUAAGUUAAAGUUAUGGAACAAAUCCUCAGGUACAUCACUGAUCUGUAUUGGAAAAAUCUACAUAAUUUAUAGGUGAACAUCUUUGUCUUUUUCAUUUUUGUGAGAAAUGACUACCGUAACUGUUUGGUGAUAACUUGGGCACUCACUAUUUUAUCUACUGCUUUGUAAGCUGACAUCCUUAUUAAAUGUGGCUAAUGCAAGAUGAAACAUAUUUUAUUCAUUUAAACCUGAUUAACUUCUGUCUGUUCUGCUUUAAAAAGCCAAGGUUCACACUUGAUUUGAUGCACUUAAAGCUAAUUGUUAAGCACUGUAUAAUUAUUAUUUUCCUUAUAUCAAACUAUCAAUGCAUCUAGGUACCUUAUUAACAGAAGCAAACCUUUGUAUAAUUCCGCUUAUGUUGACACAUAUUGUAGUUUUCAGAUUUGGCAAUUUACAGGUAUUUGUAGACUUGCUGCAAUGUUUUCAGUAAAUGAUCAACCUAGCUUCUUGAAAAGUGAGGGUAGUUCAUGUGAAUGUUGUCUAAAAUCACUUCAAAUUUGUCUGGGAGAUGAAUGAUUCAGAAUUCUAAAAGUUUGCAAAAGUUGUGCCUUAAUUU